UGGAAUUCCAUGUGUAGCGGUNANNUGNGUAGAUAUAUGGAGGAACACCAGUGGCGAAGGCGGCUCUCUGGUCUGUAACUGACGCUGAGGCUCGAAAGCGUGGGGAGCAAACAGGAUUAGAUACCCUGNUAGUCCACGCCGUAAACGAUGAGUGCUAAGUNUUGGAGGGGUUUCCGCCCUUCAGUGCUGCAGCAAACGCANUAAGCACUCCGCCUGGGGAGUACGACCGCAAGGUUGAAACUCAAAGGAAUUGACGGGGGCCCGCACAAGCGGUGGAGCAUGUGGUUUAAUUCGAAGCAACGCGANGAACCUUNCCAGGUCUUGACAUCCUUUGACCACUCUAGANAUAGAGCUUUCCCUUCGGGGACAAAGUGACAGGUGGUGCAUGGUUGUCGUCAGCUCNUGUCGUGAGAUGUUNGGUUANGUCCCGCAACGAGCGCAACCCUUAUUGUUAGUUGCCAUCAUUUAGUUGGGCACUCUAGCGAGANNNNNNGUGACANACCGGAGGAAGGUGGGGAUGACGUCAAAUCAUCANGCCCCUUAUGACCUGGGCUACACACGUGCUACAAUNGGAAGUACAACGAGUCGCUAGACCNCGAGGUCAUGCAAAUCUCUNAAAGCUUCUCUCAGUUCGGAUUGCAGGCUGCAACNCGCNUGCAUGAANCCGGAAUCGCUAGUAANCGCGGAUCAGCACGCCGCGGNGAANNNGUUCCC
rnacentral:rRNA from 1 species